AGCAGCCGCGGUAAUUCCAGCUCCAAUAGCGUAUAUUAAAGUUGUUGCAGUUAAAAAGCUCGUAGUUGAAUUUCGGGAUUAGUACGUUGGUCGUGCCUUGGUACGUACUGGUGUAACUGAUUCCUCCCUUCUGACGAACCGUCAUGCCAUUCACUUGGUGUGGCGGGAAAUCAGGACUGUUACUUUGAAAAAAUUAGAGUGUUUAAAGCAGGCUCGCGCUUGAAUACAUUAGCAUGGAAUAAUGAAAUAGGACGUUAAUCCUAUUUUGUUGGUUUCUAGGAUCGACGUAAUGAUUAAUAGGGAUAGUUGGGGGCAUUAGUAUUCAAUUGUCAGAGGUGAAAUUCUUGGAUUUAUUGAAGACUAACUACUGCGAAAGCAUUUGCCAAGGAUGCUUUCAUUAAUCAAGAACGAAAGUUAGGGGAUCGAAGACGAUCAGAUACCGUCGUAGUCUUAACCAUAAACUAUGCCGACUAGGGAUCGGAUGAUGUUAAUUUUUAAUGACUCAUUCGGCGCCUUACGG
rnacentral:rRNA from 1 species